AACUCAUGGUGGGGACACGAACGGGUCAUCUUUAAACCGCUCCCAAGCUUCUGCAAGUGUCUCAUCGUUUUCUUAAUUAAAUGAGGAGAUCUUCCUCCUUAUGUC